rnacentral:rRNA from 1 species
AACGAGCGUUAGCGGCGCGCUUAACACAUGCAAGUCGAGCGAGAAGGGGGCAACCCCAGUAAAGCGGCGCACGGGUGAGUAACACGUAGGUAAUUUACCUCGAGGUGGUGGAUAACCUUCCGAAAGGAGGGCUAAUACAGCAUGAGACCACGUCUUCGAAAGAGGAUGAGGUUAAAGCGGGCCUCUAUACAUAAGCUCGCGCCACGAGAUGAGCCUGCGGCCCAUCAUGGUAGUUGGUAGGGUAAUGGCCUACCAAGCCGAAGACGGGUAGCUGGUCUGAGAGGAUGAUCAGCCACACUGGAACUGAGACACGGUCCAGACUCCUACGGGAGGCAGCAGUGGGGAAUCUUGCGCAAUGGGCGAAAGCCUGACGCAGCGACGCCGCGUGAGUGAUGAAGGCCCUCGGGUUGUAAAGCUCUGUGGAGGGGGACGAAUAAGGGUUGGUGAAUAUCCAGCUCGAUGACGGUACCCCUUUAGCAAGCACCGGCUAACUCUGU